rnacentral:rRNA from 1 species
AGUGAACGCUGGCGGUAGGCCUAACACAUGCAAGUCGAACGGCAGCACAGUAAGAGCUUGCUCUUACGGGUGGCGAGUGGCGGACGGGUGAGGAAUACAUCGGAAUCUACUUUUUCGUGGGGGAUAACGUAGGGAAACUUACGCUAAUACCGCAUACGACCUACGGGUGAAAGCAGGGGAUCUUCGGACCUUGCGCGAUUGAAUGAGCCGAUGUCGGAUUAGCGAGUUGGCGGGGUAAAGGCCCACCAAGGCGACGAUCCGUAGCUGGUCUGAGAGGAUGAUCAGCCACCCUGGAACUGAGACACGGUCCAGACUCCUACGGGAGGCAGCAGUGGGGAAUAUUGGACAAUGGGCGCAAGCCUGAUCCAGCCAUACCGCGUGGGUGAAGAAGGCCUUCGGGUUGUAAAGCCCUUUUGUUGGGAAAGAAAAGCAGCAGGUUAAUACCCCGCUGUUCUGACGGUACCCAAAGAAUAAGCACCGGCUAACUUCGUG